rnacentral:rRNA from 1 species
AUUGAACGCUGGCGGUAUGCUUAACACAUGCAAGUCGAACGGUAGCAGGUCUAGCUUGCUAGAUGCUGACGAGUGGCGGACGGGUGAGUAACGCGUAGGAAUCUGCCUUAUUGUGGGGGAUAACCUGGGGAAACUCAGGCUAAUACCGCAUGAGCCCUAAGGGGGAAGGAUGGGACCGCAAGGCCAUUCGCGAUAAGAUGAGCCUGCGUCGGAUUAGCUUGUUGGUGGGGUAAAGGCCUACCAAGGCGAGGAUCCGUAGCUGGUCUGAGAGGACGACCAGCCACACUGGGACUGAGACACGGCCCAGACUCCUACGGGAGGCAGCAGUGGGGAAUAUUGGACAAUGGGGGCAACCCUGAUCCAGCCAUUCCGCGUGCAGGAUGAAGGCCUCGGUUGUAACUAGC